GGUUGACCCAGUAGUUGACCACGCACCGGUAGUUGACCAUUUGCGACUUCAAAUGUCAAUAUUAAGAAUUCCCGCCACUAUCUGGUAUUUUUUAAGUUGCCUACAUGUUAUUUCAACUUUAACUGACAAACCAAUCACAUUCCCGAUGACAUGAGACAAAAAAUGUAGCCUACACUAUCAUUUUACUUCCGCUCGUCGCCGUUAGUUGCCGAUCUGCCGCCAUUACAGUUAGGCACGUGUUCUGACAGAUUAAAAAAUGCCACCAAAAAGAAAUUCUUUCAAUAUAGUGAGGACGACGUUUACGAAGCAGUAAAAGAAAUACAUUCUGGGAAAAAAAAUAGAGAAACAUGCCGCAAAUAUAAAAUCCCCCAUUCAAUGUGAUUGCUAAGACUGAAUAUGAAAACUUGUUGAUCUAAAUUAAAAAAAAGAUAUUGCUUCUAAUUUAAAUAAAGUUGAUCAUAAAAAACAAGCUACUUUUUAUUAUUUUUUGCUAUUUUUGCCUUGUUUUGAAAUUGGUCAACUUUGGGUACAAAACUUAACAACUACUGGGGCCUGCUGGUCAAACUUAGGUACAUUCCCGUUUUUGGAAUUUUAAAAAUAUUAUAAAAAAAACCUGAACGUAA